GAUGAACGCUGGCGGCGUGCUUAACACAUGCAAGUCGAACGAUGAAGCCCAGCUUGCUGGGUGGAUUAGUGGCGAACGGGUGAGUAACACGUGAGUAACCUGCCCUUGACUCUAGGAUAAGCCCGGGAAACUGGGUCUAAUACUGGAUAGGAACGUCUACCGCAUGGUGGGUGUUGGAAAGAAUUUCGGUCAUGGAUGGACUCGCGGCCUAUCAGCUUGUUGGUGAGGUAAUGGCUCACCAAGGCGACGACGGGUAGCCGGCCUGAGAGGGUGACCGGCCACCAUGGGAGUGAGACACGGCCCAGAGUCCUACGGGCGGAAGCAGUGGGGAAUAUUGCAGGAUGGGCGAAAGCCGGAUGCAGCGAUGCCGCGUGAGGGAUGACGGCCUUCGGGCUGUAACCCUCUUACAGUAGGGAAGAAGCGAAAGUGACGGGACCUGCAGAAGAAGCACCGGCUAACUACGUG
rnacentral:rRNA from 1 species